UAACCUAAUAUCUAUCUGUGGUGAAAAUUUCUGUGCAGUAGUUUUGAUGUAAUUCUGCUAACGGACAGACAGACAAAUAAAUGCUGAUGAUUUUAUUACACCCAAGGCGGAAGUAAGAAGUUAAAUCCUUUAUUUUUACUAUUUUCACAAAAGCUGGCCAGGUCUUGUCUGAUUUGUGAGAACUGAUUCUAACAUGUUGGGUGGAUUCAGUCAGACUGAACUGUGAUUUACAGGUUUCACUUCACACCACAGCGGUUUGAUGCGUAAUGCCCCAGAAAAUGAAACCGACUACAUGCCAGCAUUCGACACAAAUGGUUAUCCAGGAAUCUCAUCAGGUGUAUAAAGAAGAAGAAGAAGAAAAAAAAAUCUGAUUACCAACUGAAGAAACUUUGACAACAUGUAUGAAAGAUUCAGCAUAUCAACAAAAAUAACAGUUGAAGAAAAAAAAACAACAACCUUAAAUAUACUUAGUGCAAUUCCAAAAAAGGAGAACAUGUUAAAAUAGGAGAGAGGAAAAAAAGGUCACUAACAUGACAUGAACUCCUAAGCAGUGUUUAUAUACAUUUUAAUUGCCCUGGAAGGUGAGUGUUAUCAUUUAGUGUACAAAUCUUCACUACGACUCAGCAGGAAUUCCUACACUUGUGAACGUGUUCCCAGCCGAGUCGAGACGGCUCUACAUAAAGAUUAAACCAGAACCAAGUUCAAGAGGUUAUGGGAAUGAGAACAUUAUGGUGUUUCUCCACCAAGCAUCAUGUGACCAGCAGUUAACCUGCACCAUAAACCCAGAGCCAGCAGUCAUUAACCCAAGGCAUUUGAUACGGUGCAAGUGUUCCAUGACUAUCACUUGUUUACUGCACGUGUCCGGAGUCUUAAAUCAUUUCCUCAAUAUGUCGUUACAGUCGUGCUGCUGUUGCAUCAUCACGCGAGUUUAAUUCGGUCUUCUGAUGGAUGUUGUUGGGGUUAGCACUGCUACUUCACAUAGCGUUUGCAGUCAUUCAUUUGUAAAUCCUGUGUGAAGCUUCUCAGAUGGGAUCACAGCCCUUUGGAAAUGUGCAUGUUUUAGAUUUUUAUUCCAAAGCUGUGCAUCCCCUCUGCUUUUAUAUGCUGCGCUUCCUAACAUUCUGCACAAAAACAACACGGCGAUAAAAAGGUGUUGUUCAGGUUCAUCAUUGACGGAGCGUGCGUGUUUGUUCACAUGCUAACACUGUUUAUCUACAGUAAGUGCGUUUGUGCACGUCCGGUUUUUCUUGUUUAAUAAUUCAAGACUCCCAAGAUUUAAGGGCAGGAUGUCUGCGCUGAGCCGCUUCAGUUUAUCAAAGGGGAUACAGCGAGUGUUAGCUGAAGGACUAAAACGCUCCAUAUUCAAACAAUCAGGAAUUCAACUUCAACACUAAACAGGUUAGAACUUUUGAAGAAUUGCCUCAGUGAGGUCUUCCUGAUUGUUUCACAAGAGCAGCCACUCUGCUUUACUUUUAUGACUUAAUCUGAAGACUGAAGCAGCGGUCGCUCUUCUUCAUAAUCUUUGUAACGUCCCAGUGUGACGAAACAAGCAGAGUUUAAAAGAGAGCCAGCUGCUGAAAAGUCUGCAGAACAGAGACUCAGUUCCGGCUCCUCACUCACACCAGAAUAGAGAGAAAGUUGUGAAACAUCAUCUCCAGCAGCUCAUCCUAUCACUACAAGGCAAACACUAAAAUCACUUCAAUUUUUGUCAUAAAUUCAAUCACCCCUACACAGAAUGCUCAAUUUUCCUUUGUUUUUAAGAUCAAUUUUAACAUCGGCUAAGCUCUUUCAAAGUAAAAAGCUGUCAUUUGUUUAUAAAAAACAAAACACUUUUAUCCCGAAGCACGUGCAAGAAAACAUGAGAAGCUUUACACAGCUCACUUACUGCCUGCAGCUUCAUGCAGUAAAACAGCAGCUUUUGUCCUGCUCCUGUUAUUUUUCUACUUUCAAAGUGUACUUUUUGAAACUUUCCAGACCAGCGCUACCCGCACAGAAUACAGUGAUAUUAGAAACCCUGCCGCUGUUACAGACUGCUGUGACUCUCAUUUGAAAAAUUAUGUUCUCUCCAUUCAAUGUGUCACUGUGUUCCUUAUAAGUUAAAACAAACCAUUCAAACAAGUUACUUUAACCUCAACAUAAAAUGUAACCAAUCAGGCAGAAGGAUCAAAGUCUAACAACAGUCAGGCAUUUACGCGCGUGUGUGGAGACCUAAAACUUCUUGAGAUAAAAAUCACUGUCUGGACACCAUCCUGAAGAAAUAGAACAGGUUUAUAAUAUUUAAUAAUGAUACAAUCA